UACGUAGGGGACAAGCGUUGUCCGGAUUUAUUGGGCGUAAAGAGCGUGUAGGCGGCCUGGCAGGUCUGCUGUGAAAACUCGAGGCUCAACCUCGAGAUGUCGGCAGAAACCGCCUGGCUAGAGUCCGGAAGAGGAGAGUGGAAUUCCUGGUGUAGCGGUGAAAUGCGCAGAUAUCAGGAGGAACACCCGUUGCGAAGGCGGCUCUCUGGGACGGUACUGACGCUGAGACGCGAAAGCGUGGGGAGCGAACAGG
rnacentral:rRNA from 1 species